rnacentral:rRNA from 1 species
GACGAACGCUGGCGGCGUGCUUAACACAUGCAAGUCGAACGAAGAGCGAUGGAAGCUUGCUUCUAUCAAUCUUAGUGGCGAACGGGUGAGUAACGCGUAAUCAACCUGCCCUUCAGAGGGGGACAACAGUUGGAAACGACUGCUAAUACCGCAUACGAUCUAAUCUCGGCAUCGAGGAGAGAUGAACGGUGGCCUCUACACGUAAGCUUUCAUUGAAGGUGCGGAAUGCGUCUGAUAAGCUAGCUGGGUGGGAAAGGGCCCACCCAGGGGAUACACAGUAGCCGGACUGGGAGGAUGGACGGCCACAUUGGGACUGGGGCACCGCCCAGGCUCCUACGGGGGGCAGCAGGUGGGAAUCUUCCGCCAUGGGCGGAAGGCUGGCGGGGCAACGCCGCGUGAGUGGUGACGGCCUUCGGGUUGUAAAGAUCGGUUAAUCGGGACGAAAGGCCUUCUUACGAAUAGGGAGAAGGAUUGACGGUACCGGAAUAGAAAGCCACGGCUAACUACGUG